CACGUAGGGUGCGAGCGUUGUCCGGAAUUAUUGGGCGUAAAGAGCUCGUAGGCGGUGUGUCGCGUCGGCCGUGAAAACCUGCAGCUUAACUGUGGGCUUGCGGUCGAUACGGGCAUCACUGGAGUUCGGCAGGGGAGACUGGAAUUCCUGGUGUAGCGGUGAAAUGCGCAGAUAUCAGGAGGAACACCGGUGGCGAAGGCGGGUCUCUGGGCGGAUACUGACGCUGAGGAGCGAAAGCGUGGGGAGCGAACAGG
rnacentral:rRNA from 1 species